CGUCGUGAAGAGGGAAACAACCCAGACCGCCAGCUAAGGUCCCAAAGUCAUGGUUAAGUGGGAAACGAUGUGGGAAGGCCCAGACAGCCAGGAUGUUGGCUUAGAAGCAGCCAUCAUUUAAAGAAAGCGUAAUAGCUCACUGGUCGAGUCGGCCUGCGCGGAAGAUGUAACGGGGCUAAACCAUGCACCGAAGCUGCGGCAGCGACGCUUAUGCGUUGUUGGGUAGGGGAGCGU
rnacentral:rRNA from 1 species